AUUGAACGCUGGCGGCAGGCCUAACACAUGCAAGUCGAACGAGUGGCGGACGGGUGAGUAAUGUCUGGGAAACUGCCCGAUGGAGGGGGAUAACUACUGGAAACGGUAGCUAAUACCGCAUACCAUCGGAUGUGCCCAGAUGGGAUUAGCUAGUAGGUGGGGUAACGGCUAACCUAGGCGACAAUCCCUAGCUGGUCUGAGAGGAUGACCAGCCACACUGGAACUGAGACACGGUCCAGACUCCUACGGGAGGCAUCAGUGGGUAAUAUUGCACAAGUGGCGCAAUCCUGAUGCAGCCAUGCCGCGUUUAUGAAGAAGGUCUUCGGGUUGUAUAGUACUUUCAGCGGGGAGGCGUUACCCGCAGAAGAAGCACCGGCUAACUCCGUGCCAGCAGCCGCGGUAAUAC
rnacentral:rRNA from 1 species